GCUGGGCAAGGCGGUCCCACAAUUCCAGAGGUCCCCAGCCGGACCCCAUCCCCGCACCCAGGCUAGCCUAGAAGUCCCGUUCCUUCCCAGAAGUGCGGGUCAAUCUGUCACUCAGACAUAUGGGUGCAGGGGACACGACAACAGGUGGAGAUCACUGCCCACCCUUCGCUGCCUGGUUUCGGAGGCCCUGCCACCUGAGAUCCACCCAGUCCAGGCUUCGCUACUCUGGUUAUGAAGCUCACGCCCAUUCAGCACCUGUUUCCUAUG